CAUUUUCAACCUACCAUGUUUGCGGGAAUGUCUCAAAGCCGUCUAAAGAAAUUUGCUGUUCCAACUUUAUUUAUGUCAGUUGGGUUCAUAAGCAUUGUUAUUCAUUUUACUUGUUAUUUUUUUCAAAUCAUCAGUUGCUUGUUUAUCUGCACAAUCGAUUUAUACACUUGCACAAACGAACAUUUAAAUAAACAAAAAUUGUUUAUAGAUAGGCAUUUCACCAGUUUCAGUCUGUUCGUGGUGGUUCUGUGUAAUAUUUUCAAUAUUUUUAUGACAAAUACUAUAUUACUGAAAAACAAAAACUUUUGACAAUAACAUUUAGCUUUCAAUUUUGCCUCUUAAAAUUGUGUUUGUGUUAUGCUCAAAAAAAUUAAAUAAAUAUAUUUUUUUGUAGACAAUUCCAUGAUGGAAGUUGAAACUACUAUUCCUGCUGUUCCUGUUACAUCUGAAGCUGUUUCAGAAUUACCGUAAUCUAGAUACCGUAAACUACGGCGUAUUUUGAUUGCGUUGGUUAGUCUUUGGUGUGAGUUUGACUAGUACAAAAUUAUUAAAAAUGAUUAUUUAUUUAAAAUAAAAAUAGAAAACAAAAAAAGAGAAUUCAAUGAAACUGACAACAUUGCUUUUUAUUCUGCCGCUAUCAUGUCAAAUCAAGCGUUAAAAUUCUCCAUAACGUCAAAUAUGUGCCAAAAAUUACUAAAAUCAAAUUAAAAUAUUUUAAAAUUCUGCGCAUAAUCUCCAUUUAUUUUUAUUUAAAACUACUACUAAAAAUGGUUACUUUAUGGUAAAAAAAAAGAAAA